rnacentral:rRNA from 1 species
AUACGAAAGGUGCAAGCGCUGUUCGGAUUUACUGGGCGUAAAGAGAGUGUAGGUGGUUUAUUAAGUCGGAUGUGAAAUCCCGGGGCUCAACCUCGGAACUGCAUUCGAUACUGAUAGGCUAGAGUUUGGGAGGGGUAAGCGGAAUUCCGUGUGUAGCAGUGAAAUGCGUAGAUAUACGGAGGAACACCUGAGGCGAAGGCGGCUUACUGGACCAAUACUGACACUGAGACUCGAAAGCGUGGGUAGCAAACAGGAUUAGAAACCCCAGUAGUCC